GCAAGCCAGUGAUGAAACAAAGUUAUCCCUGUCUGAAAUGACCAUGUGGAGUCUUGGUAACCUGAGGCUUGU
ensembl:snoRNA